UAAUGGGAAUUCAAGGGCGUAUGGUGGAUGCCUUGGUUUACAAAGGCGAUGAAGGACGUGGCACAGCUGCGAUAAGCUUCGGGGAGAUGCCUAGCAAUCUAUGAUCCGGAGAUUUCCGAAUGGGGAAACCCCAUCUGGGUAAUGCCAGAUGAUGUUCUCUCGUAAGAAGAGAACAAGCAAACUCGGGGAAGUGAAACCUCUCAGUACCCGAAGGAAGAGAAAACAAGUCUGCGAAUGCAGAAAUAUUCCCUUAAUAGCGGCGAGCGAAAGGGGAAGAGCCCAAACCUGUUCUUCUAACAUUAGUUAGAAAGGACAGGGGUUGUAGGACAAAGAUGGAGGGUAACCUCGGAGAGUCAAAAAUUUUGUUAUUAGAUGAAUAAGCUGGAAAGCUUGGCCGUAGACGGUGAUAGCCCGGUAAUCGAAAAUAACAAAACUCUCUGAUCUUUGCUCCUGAGUAGCUCAGGACACGAGUAGCCUGGGUGAAUCUGCCAGAACUAACUGGUAAGGCUAAAUACUUUGUAAAACCGAUAGUGAACUAGUACUGUGAAGGAAAGGUGAAAAGAACCCCGGAAGGGGAGUGAAAUAGAACUGAAACCAUAUGCUUACAAGGAGUCGGAGCGGGCAUUUAUGUCCGUCACGGCGUGCCUAUUGAAGAAUGAGCCAACGAGUU
rnacentral:rRNA from 1 species